AUGCAGAGUUCAUCUACUGGCCAAUUUCAGAAAGAGACUUCUGUGAAAAAAAUGAUGCAUUCAAAAAAAUCAGAUGCAAAUGCUCCCGACUCAUUACAUUUGAUAGAAAUACGUCCAUUUGGCUCUCAAUCUCUCUCAUCUGAUUACCCUUCACAAGGAAACCCUGAACUGACCAAUUAUAAGCAGCGACAGAUGUAUCUAUUUGCCAUCGAUGAGCCACCUGUAUUUUGCCGUGCAAUUUUGUUGAUUGUGGCUAAUGGAUAGUUGCUGCCCAUUAAUUUCAAAAGUAAUUUUUUCUUUUCUUUAGAAUGAUUUUCGUUCGUAUUUUCAGUUUUGUCAAUGUAUUGCUCCUGCAUUACUGAGUUUUUUUUUGAAAGUUACUACAGAUUUUUUGUAUGCCUGGGCAAAGAUCUGGAUUCCAUCUCACAACCAACCAAGAUACGUGUUCACUUCAUCUCUUGCUGACUCAACAGGUCUAUAUCUUUUUCUAACUAAUAAUAGUUCAGAAUACCUAAAUUGAGAGGGCGUUUAAAUGUAGUUUGCUCUAACAUUGAUUGAAAAAUGGGCAAUUUACCGGCUGUUUUAAGGAAUCUUCUCUGAACAAAUGUUGUGUAUUUUCCUUUUCAAGUGUGUUGAAAGCACUAUGUUGUUGCAUAUUGCACAUUUUUUAAAAUUUUAUCGGCACUACACAAUUAUUUGAUUAAUUUAAAACUUUUUUGUCAACCGAUUAUAAUCGUGUAAUAUAUAAUUUGUUUGAAAGCGACAAAACCUAAGAUGUAAAUGCAAUGAAAACAAUAAGGUGUAAAUUAGAUUUGAAAUUCCUCCCUUCCUGAUAAAUUUUCGGCGGUCCACCAAAAUCAUGUCUAAAAGUAAGGCUGAGACAAACGAGGUUGAACCGGGAAGAUUCAAUUUUGAAAUCUCUGUUCUGAAGAAGGAAAUUCAUUCCCUUUACAACCAAGCAAACAAAGACAAUUUCUGAAAUUUUAAAUUUUUUAUGGUCCUGUUUUCUAUUGAUUCUACUUGCAGUUUAUUGCCUCCGAUAUUUGUUCUGCUGUGUGUUUACUAUAUCAUCCAAGGCUACAAAUAUUACGGCUCUUCUGGUUAAUUCGUUCACAAAGCGGAUCCAAGCAGAUGUUUGUUUUGGUUUUGCAGACUCAAAUUUUGAACAAAACGUCGUGAUUGAAUGGUGAUUUAAGAAAAAUAGCAAUGAAGGUACAAAAACAAAACGAAGGCAACGAAACGAGGCAGGAAACACUUAAGAAGCAAGUUGUGACCUCAGAGGAGACUGUUAACUUUGCGGGCUAUACGUCAUUAAAUUAGUUCCAGGAAUUUCUUGAUGAAUAAAAUGAUUCCGAUUUGAUUAAGUUUGAACAUUUUUGAGAAAUUCUCUCGCACAAGGGAAAAAUUGUCUUUAAGAAGCCUUAUUAUACUUAAUCAUUGUUUGAUUCAAAUGUUUACUCUUUUUAAACUCUCACUAUGACUUACUCCAUAUUUAUCAAUAUAAUUAACACUAAUUAGAACUUUACGCACUCAUAAACAUAUAAACCGCUUUACUGCUUUUGUUUGAAUUUAAUAAAUUACUAGUAAGUGAAACCUAAUUUUAUGGUAAGCAAAACUUUAUUAAGUAGAGACACUUCUUAGAAUUAGGGAGCAACUGAUGAUGAACAUCUGUAUCUAAUUGAACACUUAGACGUAAGAGCUUGCAGCAAUAAUAUUACAUUAAGACACUUUUUAGGAUUAGGGAGCUAAAAUUUAGACUAUAAGAGCUUGAUAGGCAAAUAAGGCAAAGGCAAAUAGAAAAAAGGCAAAUAGGUUUAUAAGGCAAUAAUUAUGGCUUAGCAAAAAUAUGCGUUUGAAAUUAGGUUUAAUUUUAGUUUUAAUUCAAUUACGCGUUUUUCAAAGAAGGCUUUUAAAGACAUCGAUAUUUUACUCAACAGUCAAUUCUCAAACUUAACAAAUCGCUAAAUUCCAGCCAUGAACCUGAGUAAGUUGAGGGAAGUUUACUCAGGUCUUGCGUAAAGUUAAUACAUCCGAUGUUGUCCAUGAGAGGUUUUUGUUUAGGAUUUGCUCGCGUGACUAAAUAAAAAAAUUGGAAUUGAAUGGUGCUAAACUCAUGAAAGAAAGUGGUCCAGAGGAGCAGCGGUCCGGUUGGUUACAGAGGAAAAAGUCUACUUUUUUGAAAAUCUGUUUUUGGCACUUUCAGACACCUUGGAUAAACGUAAAUCUGAUUUCUUUUAAGAAACAGAGGUCCAAAUUUGCGUCUUUUGGGCUUCAUCUUAGUAAUUUUUUUAACUUCUAUUGAAUGAUGACUGAUUCAUAAAAGUAUUAAAAAGAGUCAAUAAAUGAUUAAAAAGAAGAAAGAGGAAAACCAUGAACCCCAAACUAGACGAAUGCAAUAAUUGACGUAAUCAUUUCACAACAAGCACUCCAUCACUCAUUGAUUUUUUCACGGAAAUGAAAUCUCCAUGGGAAAGCGCAGCGACUCUGAAAAAUGCAUCUGAUUGGAGAUAUGUCCUUUUCAAAAUGAUUUUUUAGUCUCUUAUUUCAAGAAGAAAAACCGCGGACUCAUAUUAGACCGAUAAAAAAUUGAGGUGGUCAAUUCAAAAAGCAUACCAGUUUUGGUCAAAAUUGACUUUUAUGGGAAUAGGAAAAGGGUAAAGGCUCCAUGGGAAGGCGCAUUGACCCUGAAAUUCCAAAAACAUCAUCCAAAUUGGAGAUGUGCCCCUUUCAAAAAGACUGAUUUGAUUCAGAUUGAGACAAUAUGAACAGAACUCUAGGUUGUAUUAUCUUCUUAACUUGUGAGGAAAAAACCCAAAAAUUAGAUUUAAAAACUAUUUUACACCCAUCUGUCCUUAUAACAUCAGUGGUUUCAAAUACUAUGAAAUUAGUAAGAUUUAAAAGUUUACCUCUUCAGAACAAUAACUGUUGAUGAGUGUGGGAAUAAAAUAGAAAAUAUUAAGUUUUGUCUCAUUUAUUACUCUGAAACCAGUUACAAAUUUUUUAUUGCUGGAUAAAAAAAGCAAUUAAACAGGGUUUUUCGACCCAAAAAACAAUUUUAAAACUAACUUAUCAAUUUCAUGCAUAUUUUCCAGAUAUAAUUUUUUUCGAUUACCGUCGACUUAUCACUCAAUUAAUAAAAUUUUAUACUUGGUCUCGACAGGAAACAUUCAUCACAUUGAUGAUUAAGAAUACAAAAACGAUCAAAGUAAACAUUUCGAAAAUCGUAUACAGUCAAAACUUCAAACUAAACAAACUCAUAAAUGAAAAACAGUGUUUUCUCUUUCUGUAAUGUAAGCACUAUGUCAUUGUAUGAGCACAGACCAAUUGGAAAAGACCAAUAAGGAUGAAUCUAUAAUCAGACUCAGGCUGAGACGAUUGGAUAUUAU
rnacentral:lncRNA from 1 species